AUGGGGUGACCGCGUACCUUUUGUAUAAUGGGUCAGCGACUUAAUGUAAGUAGCCAGGUUAACCGCAUAGGGGAGCCGUAGGGAAACCGAGUCUUAACUGGGCGACAGUUGCUUGCAUUAGACCCGAAACCGAGUGAUCUAGCCAUGGGCAGGUUGAAGGUUGAGUAACAUCAACUGGAGGACCGAACUCACUAACGUUGAAAAGUUAGGAGAUGACCUGUGGCUAGGGGUGAAAGGCCAAUCAAACUCGGAGAUAGCUGGUUCUCCCCGAAAGCUAUUUAGGUAGCGCCUCGGACGAACACUACUGGGGGUAGAGCACUGUUAAGGCUAGGGGGUCAUCCCGACUUACCAACCCUUUGCAAACUCCGAAUACCAGUAAGUGCUAUCCGGGAGACACACGGCGGGUGCUAACGUCCGUCGUGGAGAGGGAAACAACCCAGACCGCCAGCUAAGGUCCCCAAGUUAUCGCUAAGUGGGAAACGAUGUGGGAAGGCUCAGACAGCCAGGAUGUUGGCUUAGAAGCAGCCAUCAUUUAAAGAAAGCGUAAUAGCUCACUGGUCGAGUCGGCCUGCGCGGAAGAUGUAACGGGGCUAAGCGAUACACCGAAGCUGCGGCAAUGGCUGCAUCACUUAAAGCUAUUGGAUUGACGUUAUGCGCGAAGCGCGUAGUUAAUAACGUCAAAGCGCCCAACAAUGGUUGAGGCGAAUAAAGAUAGUGGCUUUAAGGAUGCAGUUAUUGGGUAGGGGAGCGUUGUGUAAGCUGUUGAAGGUGUGCUGAGAGGCAUGCUGGAGGUAUCACAAGUGCGAAUGCUGACAUGAGUAACGAUAAAGGGGGUGAAAAACCUCCUCGCCGGAAGACCAAGGGUUCCUGUCCAACGUUAAUCGGGGCAGGGUAAGUCGGCCCCUAAGGCGAGGCCGAAAGGCGUAGUCGAUGGGAAACGGGUUAAUAUUCCCGUACUGCUGCUUACUGCGAUGGGGGGACGGAGAAGGCUAGGUGGGCCUGGCGAUGGUUGUCCAGGUUCAAGUGCGUAGGCUGAUUUCUUAGGCAAAUCCGGGAAAUCAAGGCCGAGACACGAUGUCGAGCCACCAAGGUGGUGAAGUCAUUGAUGCCAUGCUUCCGGGAAAAGCCUCUAAGCUUCAGGUAAGUAGCAACCGUACUCCAAACCGACACAGGUGGUCGGGUAGAGAAUACCAAGGCGCUUGAGAGAACUCGGGUGAAGGAACUAGGCAAAAUGGUACCGUAACUUCGGGAGAAGGUACGCUGCCCGCGGUGAAGUCCCUUGCGGAUGGAGCUAUGGGCAGUCGCAGAUACCAGGUGGCUGCAACUGUUUAUUAAAAACACAGCACUGUGCAAAAUCGAAAGAUGACGUAUACGGUGUGACGCCUGCCCGGUGCCGGAAGGUUAAUUGAUGUGGUUAUCGCAAGAGAAGCCAUUGAUUGAAGCCCCGGUAAACGGCGGCCGUAACUAUAACGGUCCUAAGGUAGCGAAAUUCCUUGUCGGGUAAGUUCCGACCUGCACGAAUGGCGUAAUGAUGGCCACGCUGUCUCCACCCGAGACUCAGUGAAAUUGAAAUCGCAGUGAAGAUGCUGUGUACCCGCGGCUAGACGGAAAGACCCCGUGAACCUUUACUACAGCUUGGCACUGAACAUUGAGCCUACAUGUGUAGGAUAGGUGGGAGGCUUUGAAGCGGCGACGCCAGUUGCUGUGGAGCCAUCCUUGAAAUACCACCCUUGUAUGUUUGAUGUUCUAACUUAGCCCCGUUAUCCGGGGUGAGGACAGUGCCUGGUGGGUAGUUUGACUGGGGCGGUCUCCUCCCAAAGUGUAACGGAGGAGCACGAAGGUGGGCUAAUCACGGUCGGACAUCGUGAGGUUAGUGCAAUGGCAUAAGCCCGCUUAACUGCGAGAGUGACGGCUCGAGCAGGUACGAAAGUAGGUCAUAGUGAUCCGGUGGUUCUGAAUGGAAGGGCCAUCGCUCAACGGAUAAAAGGUACUCCGGGGAUAACAGGCUGAUACCGCCCAAGAGUUCAUAUCGACGGCGGUGUUUGGCACCUCGAUGUCGGCUCAUCACAUCCUGGGGCUGAAGUCGGUCCCAAGGGUAUGGCUGUUCGCCAUUUAAAGUGGUACGCGAGCUGGGUUUAGAACGUCGUGAGACAGUUCGGUCCCUAUCUGCCGUGGGCGUUGGAUGAUUGAGGGGAGCUGCUCCUAGUACGAGAGGACCGGAGUGGACGAACCGCUGGUGUUCGGGUUGUGUCGCCAGACGCAUUGCCCGGUAGCUAAGUUCGGCACAGAUAAGCGCUGAAAGCAUCUAAGCGCGAAGCUGGCCCCGAGAUGAGUCAUCCCUAGAGC
rnacentral:rRNA from 1 species